UCAUUGUUAUGGAAAUAAUACCAAUUAGAAUCAAUUAAAGACUCGUACUCCCUUCAAUUAGUGAGUCAUAGUUCAAAUGGAUACCAAUUGUAUCAAAUAAGGAAAAUAAUUGUUUGCAAGACUGGUAUUUUCAUAAUAGGAAUAGUAAAAGUAUGAUGCAUGUGAUAAGGACUGAAUACAGAAUAUUUCAAGUGAGGAAAGUAUAAUGACAUCAUAUUGUGCACACAAAUUAGUUAGGAGAAUCACGGAUGAAAUUUGAAAAUCACAGGGAAUCAGUACUAAGUAAGGAGAGCAUUUCACUAAUUAGGAAGUGUUUCAAAAAAUCAAUGUAGAACUUCUAAGGAAAACAUAUACAAAUCAGGGAUUCGAAGAAAUGCAUAAAAUCAGCAGAAUAUUUGGUAAAUGAUGAACAAUUAGACCUAUAAAACACGAUAGACAUGAAAAUCAGAGAACCCUAAACAAGAAAUCACAGAACCAGUAGAAGGCUAGAACCCUAACAGAAAAUUAAAGCAUAUAAUUUGGAGAGUAACCAGAAGAUCACACAAACAAGAACAUAACACAAACAUAAACACAUAAUACUCAAAAAAAUAGAAGAUAUAGUGAUUUCGAAAGAAAACACUAGUUUUUUUUUAAAAAAAAAGGAACCGAACAUCUAAACUUAAGCAAUCAUGAAGACCGAGUAGAGAGUUGUAUAAAAUAUAAAUAUAUGAGUUAAAAUCAUUAAAAAAAUACAAGGAUUUGCAUGGUUGGGUAGAGAUUAGGGUUUCGUAGGAAACCAGUGAGAGAUAAGAGAAACCUAGCUGUGAAACUCAGCAAUAAUGGUGUUCAUAGCACCAUCGAACAAAAUCCCAUCAGAGAAAGGUCGGAGACAAACCAUACCAAGUCUUCAUUAACCAUAUCAUAUGGAAGAGGCUUCUGGGGUCUCACCGAUAGAGGGAAUCAAUGAGGUAAGGCUUCAUGGCGACUGGUGGUCGAUAGAGGUAAGGCUGGGGGGUGGUUGGACAGGCGGUAAGUUCAUCUGAGAAGAAGAGAGAACCAGAAGGUUCUAGAGAGAAGGGAGAGGGAGAGUCAAUAUAGAGAGAGAGUCCGU
rnacentral:lncRNA from 1 species